rnacentral:rRNA from 1 species
CUCACCCUUCCUUGUUUUUCCCGCCUAUAUACCGCCGUCGUCAGCUUACCCUGUGAAGGCCUCAUAGUAAGCAGAAUUGGCACAACCCAAAACGUCAGGUCGAGGUGUAGCGUAUGGAAGGGGAAGAAAUGGGCUACAUUCACUAACACAGUGAAUCACGGACGAUAAACUGAAAUGUCUAUCUAAAGGAGGAUUUAGCAGUAAGCAGGAAAUAGAGUGUUCUGCUGAAAUUGGCCCUGAAGCGCGCACACACCGCCCGUCACUCUCCCCAAGCCUAACAACCUACAUAACUAAAACCCUACAAUCGCAAAGGGGAGGCAAGUCGUAACAUGGUAAGUGUACCGGAAGGUGCACUUGGAAAAAU